rnacentral:tRNA from 1 species
GGCAUAGGAGCAUAAUGGUUAAGAGCCAUAAUCUCCCAAGUCACACUACCCAGGUUCAAAUCCUGACUCUGCCC